GCCUGGAUGGCUCAGUUGGUUAAGCGUUCAACUUCAACUCAGGUCAUGAUCUCACUGUUCGUGGGUUCGAGCCCCACGUCAGGCU
rnacentral:tRNA from 1 species